AUGCCGACACCGCAGGUUUGGCAGGAGACUUGGCGGUACAGCACAAGGGAACCGCCCCACAGUCAAACCAAAAGGACCAGGACUCAGAGUUGUGCCAAUGAGCGGUCCACACAAGAAGACAGUAUGUUUGCAAAAGCAAAACUUCAUAUUUCUCUUAUUCCUCCAUUUAUCGGCCCUCCUCGCCUGCCACCAGUGCACCGAGUCCGCGCAGCCAGCCCGAUCCACCCAGUCCUCACCGCCUGCCCGCCGGCCAGGGACGCCAUCAGGAAGAUGCAGAUGCUAAAGCUGGAUAAGAAGAACGCCAUCGACCGCCUGGAGCAGGCCGAAGCCAACAAGCAGCAAGCUGAGGACCACUGCAAGCAGCUGGAGGGGCAGCGGGAAAAGCUGAAGAGGACAGAGGCGAAAAGUAUUCUCAAUCCAUGAAGGAGGCCCAGGAGAAACUGGAGCAGCCGAGAAGGCCACCGAUGCUGACGCGGAUAUGGCCUCCCUUAACCGCCACAUUCAACAGGAAGAGGAGGGGCCGGACCGGGCCCAGGAGCGUUGUCUACAGCCCUGCAAAAGCUAGAGGAGACCGAGAAGGCAGCCGAUGAGAGUGAGAGAGGAAUGAAGGUCAUAAAAACCCGGCCAUGAAGGGCGAGGAGAAGAUGGAGUCGGAGGAGGUGCAGCUGAAAGGAGGACAAGCUCAUCGCUGAGGAUUCAGACGGCAAAUACAAGGAGGUGGCCAGGAAACCGCUGAUCCUGGAGGGAGACCUGGAGCGCUCAGAAGAGAGAGCUGAGGUGGCCAAGAGCCGAGCCAGACAGUUGGAGGAGAAACUUCAAACCAUGGACCAGACCAUCAAGUCCCUGAUGGCCUCAGAGGAGGAGUAUUCCACCAAAGAAGAUAAAUAUGAAGAGGAGAUGAAACUGCUGGAGGAGAAGCUGAAGGAGGCUGAGACCAGAGCAGAGUUUGUGGCAAAGUUGGAGAAAACCACGGAUGACCUAGAAGAGACGUUGGCCAGUGCCAAGGAGGAGAACGUGGAGAUUCAUCAGAUCUUGGACCAGACCCUGUUGGAACUCAGCAACCUGUGAGGGCCGGUGUCCUGCCCGCAGCCAAGCUACAGUU